AUUUAUCUCUGCUUCCAGGAACCACUGAGCCCUGGUGUGCACGAUAAACAUGUUAUAAUUUUGACUUUUGACAGCGCGUAUUGGGUGGGAACCAGUUGAGUUUUCAGGGCUGAGAAAAUAAUGACAGUAUCUGCUAACGGCAAUCAGCUCGCCGGCCACCAAGAAUUGUUGUAACAUCCAGAUACGAGCAACCAUACACGCAAAAAGAUCGUCGUAGGAAUUACUGAAUGAAACGACGCAUCGGAUAUAGGGAGAAUUCUGACAUUAGUGUUACAGCCAGAAAGGAGAAACAGACAUUGUUCCAGCGGUUUAUUGUUACAGGCAGCGGAUUCUGAAGACACGGCACUGACUCCAAGUUCAUCAGAACGAAAAUGUGGCAGGAAGUUACCCUAAUUGUCGCAGUUUUUGUGACUGUAAGCUCCAGUGAUAAUCCAGGUGUUGUCGUCGUUGGGAAUGUCUUCUCUGAGCGUUUGAAUGGAUAAAGCAUCUAUUGCCGAACGCGUUCUCACAUUGUCAAGUUCCUGCAUACUUCAUUUAAGUACCUUCUGAAUGUAAAAUGACUAGCUGCCAACCAGAUGCUGCCAGACCUGCUGAGUGUUUUCCAGGAAUUUCUGAUUUUGUUGGUGAUUUCUAGUAUUUACCACCAGGGGAGGUGAUGGCCAAGUGGUAUUAUCGCUGGAUUGUUAAUCCAGAUAACGUUCAGGGGACUUGGGUUUGAAUCAGGCUGGAAUUUGAAUUCAAUAAAUAUCUGGGAUUAACAAUCUAAUGAUGACUAUAAAUCCAUUGUCGAUUGUCAGGAAAAUCUCAUCUGGUUCACUAAUGUCCUUUAGGAAAGGAAACUGCCAUCCUUACCUGGUCUGGCCUACAUGUGACUCCAGACCCACAGCAAUAUGGUUGACUCUGAACUGUCUCUGGGCAAUAAAUGCUGUCUAGCCAGCAAUACCCUCAUCCUGUUAAUGAAUAAAAAAAAAAAUCUGCAGUUUGUUUUUAAUCUGUGUACACCUGUUUUUCUUAUUGAAGUUGAAGCAUCUGAGGACUUGUUACUGUAUGGGGAAGCAAAUAAAAACAAAAUACUAUGGAUGCUGGAAAUCUGAAAUAAAAAUAGAAAAUACUGGAGAAAUGCAACAUGUGCAGCAGCAACUCUUGAGACAGAAACAGAGUUAAUAUUUUGAGUGUCUUUGAAUCAACAGGAUCUGCCGAGUUUCUCCAGCAUUUUCUACUUUUAUUUUAUGAAAUAAUUGCAAUUUGUUACAAUAUACCUAAUAUCUUUUGUUAAAGAUUUUGGAACCUCAAUAAUUUAGAUUUGAUUUGAGCUGAAGACCAAGAAACUUGAUGUUGAAUAUUAUCCAAUGCUUACACUUCGCAGAUUAUCUUACAGUAUACAAUGUCUAAUACUGAAAUAUGAUAAACUACCAAGGUUGUUCUGACACAGUCAUAUCUUAUCUUUUAGAAUUAUGGUAUAUAUGUGUUCUUAAAAAUGAUAUGAACAUGCUUUCUAACUGAUACUAUUCUGUAUAUCAAAUGAUUAUAGCCGUUCUCACUGCUCUUGUGUAGCCUUGUUUAAUAACUGCAGUUUGCAGUUAUUGGCUUGAACCCUUGGCUAAUUAUUGCAUGGUAGAGGUGCAAGUAGGAGAAGAAAUUUUGUUUUAUGGCAUUCUAUGAAAGAAUUAUCCCAAGGAACACAGAGUGUAUCAGGAUAUGCAUUACUUUGGAAGCUUACAAACUUUGAAAUUUAAGCUCACAAAUUUAAGAAAACUCACUUUAUAUUUAAUUUAAAUGUUUCCAAAAACCUUUUGGCAGAUUACUUUAAAAAGGCUGCUUGGAUUAUUGUGUUAGAGAAAGGUCUGUUGUAUUAUUAAACAGUAGAUGAAAAUGAGGGAUGCAGCAAUUAUGGUCUGUUUUAGACAUGAGAUUGGCAGUAGGUUUGAUAUAUACACAAAAAACUGGACACUGACAUCAGGACUUCUGGAAUUUCUCGCUGACUUGUUCAAAUGUCAGUUAACCAGAAUAGCCCUCACAGUAGAUGUUGUGGGAGGAGAACAAAAGAAAAGCUUCUGAGGGUUCAUGGGUGGAACAGGUGAUCCUUCAUUGGAAAUAGAAUCUCACAAUCGUAAAUGUAUUGCCUCUACAUCAUCACCUAUUUAACCAACUGUUAAAGUAACUACAGCUGUAAGAAUGGCUUGUUGCACCCAAUUGCACACCACGCUGUCAUGCUGAAUGUGAUGUUUUGCUUGCUCAAUGCCUUCAUCAUCAUCCCUAAGAAGACUGCUUUUGCUUUCCCAGCUCUUCAGGAUUGAUCAUAUGCCCUCUUUGCUUGUUCCAGCUGGGCAGAGCACAUUGCACAAAAUGCUGUGGCACAGUGGAAUAUACUGUGAAGCCCUUCCUCCCCCGCCUCUCAAAAAUGGCUGCUGCAUGUAUUGGCCAUUCAUCUUCAACAGGCCAAUUGUCUGCUCCAUGAUGAUUUUGGUGGAAGAAUGGUCUACAUUUUAUCUACCCUUACCAAAAGUGCCUCACCAGGUACUUGCAUUCCCUUGGCUUCAGUCGGUUGUAUAACCAUGGUUGUAGAGGUUAGAACUUGCUGCCAAGCAGCCAUCUUUGUCAGGUGUAUGACUGUUGUAAUGAAGUAGAACCCAAGAUAGUAUAGCCGUCUUAGCAUCUUCCAGGCGACCGAGGACAGACCUGUAAGAUGUGGCAGCAGUGAUCACGAAUGACUCGUACAUUUACCGAAUGGAUGCAUUUCUGUUGAUAAAUCUGCUCCGUAUGAUAAUCUCAAUGCCAUGCAUGUAGUUUAUAGCACCCGUACGUGGGGGAAAUCCAAUUAUGAUGGUAAAGACUUUGGCUGUAGAUUUCUCCAGUGUGUAGGAUUAAUUUGUUUCAAUAUUGAUUGCUUACGGGCAUGAUUAUUGUUCUCUUUGCAUGUCAUUUUAUCAGUCUUUGCAGCUUCUAACGAUAUUUUCCAUCUGUGGGCUCAUUAGUAAUUACACAAUGUUCCUAAGUUAAGCUAAGAUUUCAUUUUUGUUUAGUCAAAGGUAGCAAUUCACCAGUACUUGAAGUUGAUAUAUGCCCGUUCCAUCAAUGGUAAAGUUAUUGCAAAUUUUUUAUGUAGCAUUCCUGCUUAGUGCCAUUUUGAGCCAGGAUUUCUUGUGCCAUGUGCCCACCUUAAUGUUGAUACUCUUAAUCUAAGAAAAUAAGCCAGGAGUCACUGCAAACUGGCAUUAAAGGCAUAUUUUGGCCUGCUGCGUUGCUGGGUAGUGUAGGGACAUGAUAUCUAACUAACAAUUCUGAAUUAGACACAGAGAUAAUAACAACGAUCGCACUCAAAUAUCCCAGAGAUUUAAUAGAUCCAGGAACAGCAUGGUACAAGUAUCAAAUCCAAGUCUGGGUGGUGAGAAAGGUUGUGGUUUGGAAAAUCAAAGGGAUUGGGUAAAUUGAAUUGUCUUAUUGUAAGGUGUUUAUUAUUUAUUUUUAAUUGCUGCAACCAAGCAGUGAAAAUUGUUUCGGAAAAAGUUUUGUAGGGACGCAUACAGCAGUGCCAUCAUGUGGUUAGUGCCUGUAAUUAGGCAGUGACUAGGAACAUAAUGAAGGCAUAGAAAUUUGUCAU